rnacentral:lncRNA from 1 species
AUGAAGCUCCUGUCAUCCUUCCUCAGAGGAUGUACGCAGGCAGCAGUUCCUCUCCCAGGGCUUUGUUUGGCACUGGGUGAUGUGGGCACGGCAGCUCCGGAGCAGCACCAUGAGACGUCUGGAUGUCCUCCGAGUGCUUACUGCCCAGCAGGAAGGAUCAUGCCAAAAAUAAAGCAAGAAGGGCUAGCUGUCUUUGUAUUGUGCAGCGGCACGGCAGCCAAAGAAGUUAGAGCUGUUCAAGAAUGUGUAACUAGGUAAAAUGGGAUGGGGUUGAGCAUAGGAAAAUUGUGACAGAAUAUCAGGAAACAUUCCCUACAGUGAGCCCUUCAGUUGUGUAAUGGUCACCCCAGGGAGGCAAUAGAAGUCUGGGCGCUUGAAUAAUUUAAAAUUAGACUGGGGAAAGCACAGGGGAAUAUCGUGUUGGGAGCAAUCCUGCAUUGAUAGUUGAAUAGGCAGAGCCAUCUAAUUGGUCCUUUCAGGCAGGAGGGGGCUGCGAUGACUGAUCUGUCCCCUAGGCAUUAGGUUGCAGAAUGACCAUUUUGCAUCACUAAAUGCCUGUUCCCGAUUUUCUGGUUGGGCAGUUUAAUGCAUUUCUAAGCUUGACUAGCAGAGAUGAAUAUUGUUGCAUCUUACAUGGGGCAUAAAAACGCUAAGCUUGAAAGAAGCUCUUACGGCAGAUAAGAGGAUUUGCGAUUCUGAUUUGAAGCACUGUGAUUAAAAUCUAACAGCGUGAUGCAAAGUGUAAUGAAGGGCUGUCAGCAUCCUUUCUCUCGUGGCUCCAUUUCACAAUCCACUUAAUUUUGCACCGUUACGGGCAGCAGUGAGGCUCCCACCCUGCAUACCGACAUCCAUGCAUCCCACCUCCUCCCUUGGUCAGCACAGGGCAAUGGCAGGGCCGUGCAGUCAGAUGGAGCUCUACAAACAAAACGUGCUCUGCAAUACCCCCUGAGAUUUCUCUGUGCCUCUCCUGGGGGUAACAACCUCUGUGCCUUGGGCUGAGCCUCAGGUGCUGGCUUUGGCCCAGGAUGGAUCUCCGUGGUGGGGAAAGGAGCUCCAGUUACUCAUUCACAUCCGAGAUCUCAUUUCCAGCAGCAAACGUGAUCUGGAGGUAAUGCUUGUCUUUGGAUAUAGAGAAUUAGCCCAUGAAGUACUUGUGCUAAUGAUAAGCUUCAAAAUGAUAUUGAAA